rnacentral:rRNA from 1 species
AAGGUUUCCGUAGGUGAACCUGCGGAAGGAUCAUUAACGAGUUAGGGUCUUCUAGGCCCGACCUCCCACCCCAUGUUUACUCAACCUUUGUUGCUUCGGCGGGUCCGUCUCAGGACCGCCGGGGGGCCGUCAAACGUCCUCUGGCCCGCGCCCGCCGGCGGCCAAUCCUCAAAACUCUUAACGAAACAUAGUUAUUUUGUCUGAGUCAAAUUUUGAAUUAAAUCAAAACUUUCAACAACGGAUCUCUUGGUUCUGGCAUCGAUGAAGAACGCAGCGAAAUGCGAUAAGUAAUGCGAAUUGCAGAAUUCCAGUGAGUCAUCGAAUCUUUGAACGCACAUUGCGCCCUUUGGUAUUCCGAAGGGCAUGCCUGUUCGAGCGUCAUUAUCACCCCUCAAGCCCCCGGCUUGGUGUUGGACGGUCUGGUCUCGGUCCCCCCGAGACCCCUCCCAAAGUUAAUGACGGUGGUCUGUCGGCCCCCGGUGCACUGAGCUCCCUUGCAGGGCACGCAUCGGUUUCAAGGGUCGCGGGCUCCGGUCCUCGUCCUCACGGAAACACAUUUUUCCACAGGUUGACCUCGGAUCAGGUAGGGAUACCCGCUGAACUUAAGCAUA